rnacentral:tRNA from 1 species
GGAGGGUGUAGCUUAGUGGUAGAGUGCAUGCUUAGCAUGCAUGAGGUCCUGGGUUCAAUCCCCAGCAUCUCCA